rnacentral:rRNA from 1 species
GACAGUGUCUGGUGGGUAGUUUGACUGGGGCGGUCUCCUCCUAAAGAGUAACGGAGGAGCACGAAGGUUGGCUAAUCCUGGUCGGACAUCAGGAGGUUAGUGCAAUGGCAUAAGCCAGCUUGACUGCGAGCGUGACGGCGCGAGCAGGUGCGAAAGCAGGUCAUAGUGAUCCGGUGGUUCUGAAUGGAAGGGCCAUCGCUCAACGGAUAAAAGGUACUCCGGGGAUAACAGGCUGAUACCGCCCAAGAGUUCAUAUCGACGGCGGUGUUUGGCACCUCGAUGUCGGCUCAUCACAUCCUGGGGCUGAAGUAGGUCCCAAGGGUAUGGCUGUUCGCCAUUUAAAGUGGUACGCGAGCUGGGUUUAGAACGUCGUGAGACAGUUCGGUCCCUAUCUGCCGUGGGCGCUGGAGAACUGAGGGGGGCUGCUCCUAGUACGAGAGGACCGGAGUGGACGCAUCACUGGUGUUCGGGUUGUCAUGCCAAUGGCACUGCCCGGUAGCUAAAUGCGGAAGAGAUAAGUGCUGAAAGCAUCUAAGCACGAAACUUGCCCCGAGAUGAGUUCUCCCUGACUCCUUGAGAGUCCUGAAGGAACGUUGAAGACGACGACGUUGAUAGGCCGGGUGUGUAAGCGCAGCGAUGCGUUGAGCUAACCGGUACUAAUGAACCGUGAGGCUUAACCUUACAA